rnacentral:rRNA from 1 species
UACGAAGGGUGCAAGCGUUACUCGGAAUUACUGGGCGUAAAGGGUGCGUAGGUGGUCGUUUAAGUCCGUUGUGGAAAUCCCUGGGCUCAACCUGGGAAUGGCAGUGGAUACUGGACGGCUAGAAAUGGCGGUGAGAGGGUAGUGGAAUUCCCGGUGUAGCAGUGAAAUGCGUAGAGAUCGGGAGGAACACCAGUGGCGGAAGGCGGCUACCUGGACCAGCAUUGA